rnacentral:rRNA from 1 species
GACGAGCGCUGGCGGCGUGCCUAAUACAUGCAAGCCGAACGAACGGAUUGAGGAGCUUGCUCUUCAUGAAGUUAGUGGCGGACGGGUGAGUAGCACGUGGGUAACCUGCCCUUCAGUGGGGGGUAACAUCCGGAAACGGGUGCUAAUACCGCAUAGUUUCUUUUUCCGCCUGGAAGAAGAAGGAAGGAUGGCCUUUGCGCUAUCACUGAGGGAUGGACCCGCGGCGUAUUAGUUAGUUGGUGGGGUAAUGGCCUACCAAGACGAUGAUACGUAGCCGACCUGAGAGGGUGAUCGGCCACAUUGGGACUGAGACACGGCCCAA